GAUGUUGGGUUAAGUCCCGCAACGAGCGCAACCCUUGUCUUUAGUUGCCAUCAUUAAGUUGGGCACUCUAGAGAGACUGCCAGGGAUAACCUGGCGGAAGGUGGGGAUGACGUCAAAUCAUCAUGCCCCUUAUGCUUAGGGCUACACACGUGCUACAAUGGGUAGUACAGAGGGUUGCCAAGCCGUAAGGUGGAGCUAAUCCCUUAAAGCUA
rnacentral:rRNA from 1 species